rnacentral:rRNA from 1 species
GACGAACGCUGGCGGCGCGCCUAACACAUGCAAGUCGAACGAGCGAGAGAGAGCUUGCUUUCUCGAGCGAGUGGCGAACGGGUGAGUAACGCGUGAGGAACCUGCCUCAAAGAGGGGGACAACAGUUGGAAACGACUGCUAAUACCGCAUAAGCCCACGACCCGGCAUCGGGUAGAGGGAAAAGGAGCAAUCCGCUUUGAGAUGGCCUCGCGUCCGAUUAGCUAGUUGGUGAGGUAACGGCCCACCAAGGCGACGAUCGGUAGCCGGACUGAGAGGUUGAACGGCCACAUUGGGACUGAGACACGGCCCAGACUCCUACGGGAGGCAGCAGUGGGGAAUAUUGCACAAUGGGGGAAACCCUGAUGCAGCGACGCCGCGUGGAGGAAGAAGGUCUUCGGAUUGUAAACUCCUGUUGUUGUGGAAGAUAAUGACGGUACUCAACAAGGAAGUG